GAGAGGGAACAAAGUAACUUCAGUAUCAAGAGGCAGUUAUUGUGUGUAUGUAUAAUUGCAACGUCCCAAAAUAAUUUGUGUGUUUAAAAAGAUACUUUCAUUCAAAAUAUGGAAUAAAUAGUGUAUAGUUUUAGAAGUAACAUAUUUUAUAUUAUCAUUAAUUAGAAUUGUAUUGUAUAUGUGUUGUAAUUCAUUAUAUUAGGUGAAUAAUAUUAUUUUGCCAUAAAUAAUAUCGAAAAAUUUAUGUAGACAUAUUAAAAGAAAUUAUAAUAAAAUUCAAAAUAUUAUCCAUAAAUAAUAUAAAUUAUGAAGUACAAUUCUCGAUAAAGAAAACAAAAUCCAUUAGAAACCUGCAAAAAAUUAAAUAAACUUUGU
rnacentral:lncRNA from 1 species